ensembl:miRNA Mir16 microRNA mir-16
AUGUCAGCAGUGCCUUAGCAGCACGUAAAUAUUGGCGUUAAGAUUCUGAAAUUAUCUCCAGUAUUAACUGUGCUGCUGAAGUAAGGUUGGCCA